rnacentral:rRNA from 1 species
GCAGAGCAUCCUACGGGAGGCAGCAGUGGGGAAUAUUGCACAAUGGGCGCAAGCCUGAUGCAGCCAUGCCGCGUGUAUGAAGAAGGCCUUCGGGUUGUAAAGUACUUUCAGCAGUGAGGAAGGUGGAUAUGUUAAUAGCAUAUUCAUUUGACGUUAGCUGCAGAAGAAGCACCGGCUAACUCCGUGCCAGCAGCCGCGGUAAUACGGAGGGUGCGAGCGUUAAUCGGAAUUACUGGGCGUAAAGCGCAUGCAGGUGGUUUGUUAAGUCAGAUGUGAAAGCCCGGGGCUCAACCUCGGAAUUGCAUUUGAAACUGGACAAACUAGAGUACUGUAGAGGGGGUAGAAUUUCAGGUGUAGCGGUGAAAUGCGUAGAGAUCUGAAGGAAUACCGGUGGCGAAGGCGGCCCCCUGGACAGAUACUGACACUCAGAUGCGAAAGCGUGGGGAGCAAACAGGAUUAGAUACCCUGGUAG